UUAAAGGCUCUUGUGAUGCUUAUAUAUUCUUGGACUCAUCCAUCUAAAUACCAAGGUUUUUAGAUAGGAUUUUGAUGUAGUAUUGAAGCCCAUUGAUCCUUCUUGUCUACCAAAACCUUUAUGCUCCCACUUACUAAUCUACAUAUUGCUCCUCGUUUCAAGUUUUAUUACUCAGAUUCUACAUGUCAAAGGGAGUGUCUAUCUUGUCAAGUGGAGAAUAUCGGUUAUAUAUGCAUAUACAAAGUCACAGGGUGUUCACUCUGGCUUCUUCUAUUAGAAGAUGUUGGCCAUUGAAGGAGAUGUCAAGAACUGGCUCCAAGACUAAUUUCUGUUUUAGAUUUUCUUUUUUUUUUAUUUUUUGAGACAUGUAGUACCUUUUGGCUAUGCAUGACUAAUGACAAUAUCAAAGACUUUCUUUCUUAUAGACUAUGUUGACAAAUGUGAUACAUUGAGGAUUUAUAUUAGUGUAAUAUGAUUUUGGAUUUUAUAUGAUGGCAUAUUAAAUGA